GAACGCUGGCGGAGGCUUAAACAUGCAAGUCGAGCGGUAACAGGGGUAGCUUGCUACCCGCUGACGAGCGGCGGACGGGUGAGUAAUGCUUAGGAAUCUGCCCAGUAGUGGGGGAUAGCCCGGGGAAACCCGGAUUAAUACCGCAUACGUCCUACGGGAGAAAGCAGGGGAUCUUCGGACCUUGCGCUAUUGGAUGAGCCUAAGUCGGAUUAGCUAGUUGGUGGGGUAAAGGCCUACCAAGGCGACGAUCCGUAGCUGGUCUGAGAGGAUGAUCAGCCACAUCGGGACUGAGACACGGCCCGAACUCCUACGGGAGGCAGCAGUGGGGAAUAUUGGACAAUGGGGGCAACCCUGAUCCAGCCAUGCCGCGUGUGUGAAGAAGGCUUUCGGGUUGUAAAGCACUUUCAGUAGGGAGGAAAACCUUAUGGUUAAUACCCAUGAGGCUUGACGUUACCUACAGAAGAAGCACCGGCUAACUCCGUGCCAGCAGCCGCGGUAAUACGGAGGGUGCAAGCGUUAAUCGGAAUUACUGGGCGUAAAGCGCGCGUAUGUGGUUUGGUAANCGAGAUGUGAAAGCCCCGGGCUU
rnacentral:rRNA from 1 species